rnacentral:rRNA from 1 species
UGGUAGUNCACGCCGUAAACGAUGAGUGCUAGGUGUUAGGCCCUUUCCGGGGCUUAGUGCCGGAGCUAACGCAAUAAGCACUCCGCCUGGGGAGUACGACCGCAAGGUUGAAACUCAAAGGAAUUGACGGGGGCCCGCACAAGCGGUGGAGCAUGUGGUUUAAUUCGAAGCAACGCGAAGAACCUUACCAGGUCUUGACAUCCCGAUGCUAUUCUUAGAGAUAGGAAGUUACUUCGGUACAUCGGAGACAGGUGGUGCAUGGUUGUCGUCAGCUCGUGUCGUGAGAUGUUGGGUUAAGUCCCGCAACGAGCGCAACCCUUAUUGUUAGUUGCCAUCAUUAAGUUGGGCACUCUAGCGAGACUGCCGGUAAUAAACCGGAGGAAGGUGGGGAUGACGUCAAAUCAUCAUGCCCCUUAUGACCUGGGCUACACACGUGCUACAAUGGUCGGUACAACGAGUUGCGAGCCGGUGACGGCAAGCUAAUCUCUGAAAGCCGAUAUCAGUUCGGAUUGGAGGCUGCAACUCGCCUCCAUGAAGUCGGAAUCGCUAGUAAUCGCGGAUCAGCACGCCGCGGUGAAUACGUUCCCGGGCCUUGUACACACCGCCCGUCACACCACGAGAGUUUGUAACACCCGAAGUCGGUGAGGUANCCUUUUAGG